rnacentral:rRNA from 1 species
AUUGAACGCUGGCGGCAUGCCUUACGCAUGCAAGUCGAACGGCAGCACGGGAGCAAUCCUGGUGGCGAGUGGCGAACGGGUGAGUAAUAUAUCGGAACGUGCCCAGUCGUGGGGGAUAACGUAGCGAAAGCUACGCUAAUACCGCAUACGAUCUAUGGAUGAAAGCGGGGGAUCGCAAGACCUCGCGCGAUUGGAGCGGCCGAUAUCAGAUUAGGUAGUUGGUGAGGUAAAGGCUCACCAAGCCGACGAUCUGUAGCUGGCCUGAGAGGACGACCAGCCACACUGGGACUGAGACACGGCCCAGACUCCUACGGGAGGCAGCAGUGGGGAAUUUUGGACAAUGGGCGCAAGCCUGAUCCAGCAAUGCCGCGUGCAGGAUGAAGCCUCCGGUGUAACUGCUUUGUACGGAACGAACGGUGAGCUCUAAUACAGUUUGCUAAUGACGGUACCGUAAGAAUAAGCACCGGCUAACUACG